UACGAAGGGGGCUAGCGUUGCUCGGAAUCACUGGGCGUAAAGGGUGCGUAGGCGGGUCUUUAAGUCAGGGGUGAAAUCCUGGAGCUCAACUCCAGAACUGCCUUUGAUACUGAGGAUCUUGAGUUCGGGAGAGGUGAGUGGAACUGCGAGUGUAGAGGUGAAAUUCGUAGAUAUUCGCAAGAACACCAGUGGCGGAAGGCGGCUCACUGGCCCGAUACUGACGGCUGAGGCACGAAAGCGUGGGGAGCAAACAGG
rnacentral:rRNA from 1 species